AUUGAACGCUGGCGGCAUGCCUUACACAUGCAAGUCGAACGGCAGCACGGGUGCUUGCACCUGGUGGCGAGUGGCGAACGGGUGAGUAAUACAUCGGAACAUGUCCUGUAGUGGGGGAUAGCCCGGCGAAAGCCGGAUUAAUACCGCAUACGAUCUACGGAUGAAAGCGGGGGACCUUCGGGCCUCGCGCUAUAGGGUUGGCCGAUGGCUGAUUAGCUAGUUGGUGGGGUAAAGGCCUACCAAGGCGACGAUCAGUAGCUGGUCUGAGAGGACGACCAGCCACACUGGGAUGGGGAACCGGCCCGGACCCCAAGGGGAGCAGGAGGUGGGAAAUUUGGGCAAAGGGCGAAAGCCUGAUCCAGCAAUGCCGCGUGUGUGAAGAAGGCCUUCGGGUUGUAAAGCACUUUUGUCCGGAAAGAAAUCCUUGGCCCUAAUACGGUCGGGGGAUGACGGUACCGGAAGAAUAAGCACCGGCUAACUACGU
rnacentral:rRNA from 1 species